rnacentral:rRNA from 1 species
AUUGAACGCUGGCGGCAUGCUUUACACAUGCAAGUCGAACGGUAACAGGCCGCAAGGCGCUGACGAGUGGCGAACGGGUGAGUAAUGCAUCGGAACGUGCCCAGUCGUGGGGGAUAACUACUCGAAAGAGUAGCUAAUACCGCAUACGAUCUAUGGAUGAAAGCGGGGGACCGUAAGGCCUCGCGCGAUUGGAGCGGCCGAUGUCAGAUUAGGUAGUUGGUGGGGUAAAGGCUCACCAAGCCAACGAUCUGUAGCUGGUCUGAGAGGACAACCAGCCACACUGGGACUGAGACACGGCCCAGACUCCUACGGGAGGCAGCAGUGGGGAAUUUUGGACAAUGGGCGCAAGCCUGAUCCAGCAAUGCCGCGUGCAGGAAGAAGGCCUUCGGGUUGUAAACUGCUUUUGUACGGAACGAAACGGCUCUGGUUAAUACCCGGGGCUAAUGACGGUACCGUAAGAAUAAGCACCGGCUAACUACGUG